rnacentral:rRNA from 1 species
AGUGAACGCUGGCGGUAGGCCUAACACAUGCAAGUCGAACGGCAGCACAGUAAGAGCUUGCUCUUACGGGUGGCGAGUGGCGGACGGGUGAGGAAUACAUCGGAAUCUACUUUUUCGUGGGGGAUAACGUAGGGAAACUUACGCUAAUACCGCAUACGACCUACGGGUGAAAGCAGGGGAUCUUCGGACCUUGCGCGAUUGAAUGAGCCGAUGUCGGAUUAGCUAGUUGGCGGGGUAAAGGCCCACCAAGGCGACGAUCCGUAGCUGGUCUGAGAGGAUGAUCAGCCACACUGGAACUGAGACACGGUCCAGACUCCUACGGGAGGCAGCAGUGGGGAAUAUUGGACAAUGGGCGCAAGCCUGAUCCAGCCAUACCGCGUGUGUGAAGAAGGCCUUCGGGUUGUAAAGCCCUUUUGUUGGGAAAGAAAAGCAGCAGGUUAAUACCCCGCUGUUCUGACGGUACCCAAAGAAUAAGCACCGGCUAACUUCAUG